AGAUGAGGAGCUUGCUCUUCAAAUCGAGUGGCGAACGGGUGAGUAACGCGUGAGGAACCUGCCUCAAAGAGGGGGACAACAGUUGGAAACGACUGCUAAUACCGCAUAAGCCCACGGCUCGGCAUCGAGCAGGGGGAAAAGGAGCAAUCCGCUAUGAGAUGGGCCCGCGUCCGAUUAGCUAGUUGGUGAGGUAACGGCCCACCAAGGCAACGAUCGGUAGCCGGCCUGAGAGGGUGAACGGCCACAUUGGGACUGAGACACGGCCCAAACUCC
rnacentral:rRNA from 1 species